CCUACGGGAGGCAGCAGUGAGGAAUAUUGGUCAAUGGCCGGGAGGCUGAACCAGCCAAGUCGCGUGAGGGAAGACGGCCCUACGGGUUGUAAACCCUUUUUGCCAGGGAGCAAGGUGCAGGUCGGGACCAGCUGUGAGAGUACCUGAAGAAAAAGCAUCGGCUAACUCCGUGCCAGCAGCCGCGGUAAUACGGAGGAUGCGAGCGUUAUCCGGAUUUAUUGGGUUUAAAGGGUGCGUAGAUGGGUUGUUAAGUCAGGUGUGAAAGUGUGCGGCUCAACCGUAAAAGUGCAAUUGAAACUGGCAGUCUUGAGUACAGGUGAGGUAAGCGGAAUUCGUAGUGUAGCGGUGAAAUGCUUAGAUAUCACGAAGAACCCCGAUUGCGAAGGCAGCUUACUAGACGGUGACUGACAUUGAGGCUCGAAAGUGUGGGUAUCAAACAGGAUUAGAUACCCGGGUAGUC
rnacentral:rRNA from 1 species